rnacentral:rRNA from 1 species
UACGGGGGGGGCGAGCGUUGUUCGGAAUUACUGGGCGUAAAGGGUUUGUAGGUGGCCUGCUAAGUCAGACGUGAAAUCCCUCAGCUUAACUGGGGAACUGCGUCUGAUACUGGCGGGCUUGAGGACAGGAGAGGAACGCGGAAUUCCAGGUGUAGCGGUGAAAUGCGUAGAUAUCUGGAGGAACACCGGUGGCGAAGGCGGCGUUCUGGACUGUUACUGACACUGAGGAACGAAAGCCAGGGGAGCAAACGGG